UGGCUGUGAUGAACAUGUGCCGUAGUGUCAGCGGGUCUGUCACAUCUUCUGAUAUAUUUAAGAGGAUAAUAUCGGCGCUUCUGAGCUU